UUGGGCUGGAAGGCACCUUUAAAGGUUAUCUAGUCCAACCUCCCUGCAAUAAGCAGGGCAUCUUCAACUAGACCAGGUUGUUCAGAGCCCUUGAAUAUUUCCAGACAUGGGCCAUCCACAACUUCUCUGACCAACAUGUUUCAGUGUUUUACCACUCCCACUGUAAAAAAAAAUUUCUUUAUAUCUAAUCUAAACCAAAUCUCCUUUAGUUUUAAACCAUUGUUCUCGUUCUAUUGCAACAUAUCCUACUAAAAGGUUUGUUGUCAUCUUUUUUACAGGUCCCCUUUAGGUACCAGAAAGUUGCUGUGAGGUCUCCCUGGAGCCUUCUCUUCUCCACGCUGAACAGUCCCAAAUCUCUCACCCUGUCUUCACAGGAGAAGUGCUCCAGCCCUCUGAUUGCCUUUGUGGCCUCCUCCGGACUCAUUCCAACAGGUCCAUGGACUCAGGAGUCCAGGAGAGGUGCAUGA
rnacentral:lncRNA from 1 species